rnacentral:rRNA from 1 species
UGGGGGAUAUUGCACAAUGGGGGGAACCCUGAUGCAGCGACGCCGCGUGGGUGAAGAAGCGCCUCGGCGCGUAAAGCCCUGUCAGCAGGGAAGAAAAUGACGGUACCUGAGGAAGAAGCCCCGGCUAACUACGUGCC